CCCUUAGAUGUUCUGGGCCGCGCGCGCGCUACACUGAACAGUUCAACAAGUCUUAACCUUGGCCGAUAGGUCUGGGUAAUCUUUGAACGCUGUUCGUGAUUGGGAUAGACCUUUGCAAUUAUGGGUCUUCAACGAGGAAUUCCUAGUAAACGCAAGUCAUCAGCUUGCAUUGAUUACGUCCCUGCCCUUUGUACACACCGCCCGUCGCUCCUACCGAUUGAAUGUUAAGGCGAACACUCCGGAAUCGUGACCGUGAUUGGGCAACCUUUCAUGGUCAAUGAUGAAGUUGUGUAGCCUUGACAUUUAGAGGAAGGAAAAGUCGUAACA
rnacentral:rRNA from 1 species